ensembl:lncRNA
UCUGGGUUUACACAAAUGCGGUGCAGGGAAGAAUUAGGCUUUUGCAGUUUCAUGUUUCCUUGACCUUUUGAGAGAAGAAUGAAAAAUCUGAUCCAACUGCUACUCCCUGUUACAAUGCUGAAAGAGCAGUGCAAACUUAAUUUGCUGACUCCCGAGGAGCAGAAUUUCAACUUGCCUAUUGAAAAACCUGGGAGAGAGCUGAGGUCUGUAGAGAUCUGAAUAAAGCUGGAUAAUCUGGAUGCCAAACCUCUCUCCCAGCUUGCUGAGGACAAGCACAGUGGAUGGGUUGCUUCUUACCGAGUCUCAGCGCUGCCUGGGAGACGCUGGCGGACGCCAAUCACCACAGUGAAAUGCUGCAUGGCAAUACAAACGCAGCUUUUUUCCCCUUUUGGAGAUGAGCACGUGUCAAUUGAACAAAGGAUGAUAGGAAAGUUUUCUUCCAAAGAUGAGCAAAACAAGGAGCACACUCUGAACAAAGAUCCUCCCAUUCCAUGAAGCUUUGGCAGCUAUAAAACAUCACAGAGCAGCAGCUUCCCAGGGAUGCUUUGGGACUGAGCAACCUCUGGGUUCCCCAGCGGUGCUGAAGAACUCCAACAUUUCUCCGUUUUGAAUAGAGCUGGCAAAAUCCAUAAUUGCUUCCAUUCUGCUUGGCUGGAAAAUAGCAAAAGCCAGGCAUGCUGCCACGGGACUGCUGGGUGCAGAGUGGGUAUGACAGAGGGCUCUGCACCAAGGCUUACCCAACAGAAGUGAAGGCAUCCCACAGCUCAGCCUGGCUUUCAUGAAUCUUUUAAUAUAUAUAUAUAUUUUCCUUUUGUACGUGUAUUUUUUUCCUUCCCUCGAGUGGAGCAGCACCAGUGAGGUGAUGACUUACCUACUGCAGCCUGGGAGAUAGCAAUCUGGAAGGGAUGGUCAUCACACAAUGCCCGAGCAGAGCUUUUCUGGCCCAAAUUUCUCUGAUUACGUUGUUACCUGGUCGGUGAAGAGAACCGUGAAAAACACAAUUACCAGGAAGCCCUGCUCCUUUCCUUGUCUCUUUGUCUCACUGCAGAUUGGGCAUGUGACUCACAGGGAAAUAGAAGAGCUGCCAUUUUCAUUUGUGUGACCCAAAGGGGUGCUGCGUGCCAGUCACACCUAACUGUGGGAAAGCUCAGCCACUGGCUGACAAACCUGAUCACAUCGUGUUUGUAGCUGGCAUUUAGAUGCAUCUGAUGGACCAGAGCAUGGCAUGAAGAACAGGAAAACCUCCGUCCUGCAGACAGCACAGGGAAGGGAGGAUAAAGGUUUGAAUGAGCUUGGUGUGGCGGGACAGAAAUUUUUUUGGCCACUGAUGUAGCAUCAGACUAAAGGGAAAGGGGACAAGCAGGCUUUAACUGUGGGUGUUGGUGACAGACUUGCUCAGUGCAAGCCCAUGUGUGCAUUCUGGGCUGCACAGGAAGACUUGGCUGUGUCCUCAUGGGAUGCACGGCAGGGAAGGAGAACCUCCCCAGUGGACCAAAGGACUGUGUCCUGAGUGAACUGGAUGAUAGCUUCCUUGAAGUUAUGGACUGAAGGAGAACUUUUCCAAUUGACUGAGGGAAAACCUCCCCUACUGACUGCCACCCCAAAGCCCUAGCUGAAGACUACAAUGACAAAUGCCUACGAGUGACCAACAUUUGCAUUAUGAAUUGCAAUCAAAAAGAACUGGCUCCAAGUCAGCACAGAUUCCCAGCUGAUUUGAUGGGUAAGCACGCUUCAAUGGGAUGGUUAAAAUGUAUUGUUUGCCUAUUGCACGCUGCAAAAAUAAAUAGCCAAAGCAGGAGAGAACAGACUUUGGCAAGCAAACUGACAACAAGCCAUGCUCUUGAGGAAGGCUCAUGAUUUGGAGGGAACAUUGAGCUGGAAGAGAACAGUGAAUAUAAAUAAGAAUAAAGUUUACCUUCAGCAGCACGAAUGGCAGGGCUGUGAGCCACGUCUCAGACUUUAUCAUUCUUCUGCUGAGGGAAAAGUUUGAAACAUAUUUGCUGUUUUACACUCUGUUGUAUUCUCAUUGUAGGAAGAUAUCAGCCACUGCAGAAAGGUCUUUCAAUAUUUAAGCAUUUUUUGGCCAUCUCUAGUUUGUCAGUUUAUGAGUGACCAGGGAGGACAUCAUGUCCAGCAGAUGAAGGGAAAUCCCACCGUUAGGUCUUGGUGGCUGUCAAAUUUAAGAAGUUUCCCUGCCUCUAGAACAUAAAUAUUCCUGAUUUCUCUGUGCUGAGGGUAUAAUAGUAGGUAAAUGGUACAUGAUACAGCUCUGGUGUGCUGUUUGUGUAACUGUUGGACUUAUAAACUGAAAUGUAUUAGAUCUAUUAUACGAGCAACAUCAUCCAGAAAAUAGAAUACAAUCAUAGAAUCGUAGAAUUAUUAAGGUUGGAAAAGACCUCUAAGAUCAUCUCGUCCAACUAUCCACCUAACACCAAAAUUUCCCACUAACCCAUGUUCCUCAGUGCCACAUCCACACAGCUCUCAAACACCUCCAGGGGCAGUGAGUCCACCACCUCCCUGGGCAGCCUGUGCCACUCCCUCACUGCCCUUUCUGAGAAGAAAUUUCUCCCAAUAUCCAACCUGAACCUCCCCUGGUACAACUUGAGGCCAUUCACUCUCAUCCAUUGCUGUAACCUGGGAGCAGAGGCUGAUCCCCACCUUGCCACAACCUCCUUUUAGGCUGUUGUUGAGAUUUAUAAGGUCUCUACAUCCCUACGUCUCCUUCAGAUUAAACAACCCCAUGUGUUGUGAUUUCCCAGGCCGAGAGAAACCCUGUCUGCAAGCAGGGCCCUAAUGAAAGGAAGCCCAGCUACCACUGCUGGGCCCUGCUCAGUGUUAUCUUGGAAAGAAGCACAUGGGAUAGUGUGUGCUGAAAUGCUCAGGGCUGCCACCAGCCCAACCCCGGGCACCGCUGUAGGGUCUGGCCCCAUGUAGAAGUGCCUGUGAGGGUUCUCCUGGGGAUCCAGGAAGGUAUCACAGAGGGAUUUGCACCAGUGAGAAGUUCUGUAAGUGGGAGGCUCUGUGGGAUCAUUCUCAAGCAACGGGUGCAUAAGAGCAUGUUUUUAUCCUGGACCACAUCAAGCAAGCAUUUUGGCAGUUCUGGGAGAGUGAAUUUGCAUUGAAAACCCACAGCUCUUACAAGCAGUGCAUUAAUUAUUUUAUUAAUUUGCUCUUUUUACAUUAUGGGAAACAUUCAUCUAUUUACAUUUUCCUGUCCACACACCCAUCUAGGUAGAUAAUCCUGUGGAAAUCCAAAUCGUUAUGCCAUAAAACCACUCUCCUCUGUCUAAAGGCUUUCACUUUUUUUUUUUUUUGCCGUUUGUUUCAUAUUAGAAAUGUUUUCAAAAUAACAUUUGGGAAUGCAGGUAGGCCAUCGAUUUACAUCCCGAUUACUUAAAAUAUGCAUUUGACCUUUUUCCUUAAAAACAAAAACAAAAAACAAAGCCAAAACAAAAAAGCCCCCAAAACUUGACAAAGAUUCUGUUCAAAUUAAAGUGAUAGUGCACAUAAAAGCAUUAAGGGAACACGAAUAAAUAAACUGAACUAUAUUACAAAUAAGUUAUUUCUAUUUACCUUUUCAAAUAUUAAAAAUCUUUAAUCCAUUUCUUCAUCUUUCUUUACAAAAAAAGAUUAUGAGAAUUUCAAUGGAAACA